rnacentral:rRNA from 1 species
AAUUGGAGGGCAAGUCUGGUGCCAGCAGCCGCGGUGAUUCCAGCUCCAAUAGCGUAUAUUAAAGUUGUUGCAGUUAAAAAGCUCGUAGUUGAAUUUCGGGAUCAAUAUUUCGGUCAUGCCGUUGGUAUGCACUGUUAUCAUUGAUUUCUCACCUUCUAAAGAACCGUAAUGCCAUUAAUUUGGUGUUACGGGGAAUUAGGACUGUUACCUUGAAAAAAUUAGAGUGUUUAAAGCAGGCUCACGCUUGAAUACAUUAGCAUGGAAUAAUGAAAUAGGACAUCCGAUUCUAUUUUGUUGGUUUCUAGGAUCGAUGUAAUGAUUAAUAGGGAUAGUUGGGGGCAUUAGUAUUCAAUUGUCAGAGGUGAAAUUCUUGGAUUUAUUGAAGACUAACUACUGCGAAAGCAUUUGCCAAGGAUGUUUUCAUUAAUCAAGAACGAAAGUUAGGGGAUCGAAGACGAUCAGAUACCGUCGUAGUCUUAACCAUAAACUAUGCCGACUAGGGAUCGGAUGAUGUUAAUUUUUUAAUGACUCAUUCGGCGCCUUACGGGAAACCAAAGUGU